AGCGAGGCUAAGCUAAUGGGGGCAAAGUUUCAGUGCAUUCCUUGAUGUAGACGGCGUGAAAACGGAAACAAGUAUGCUGGCUAACUAUGCUGCAUACAAUUACACACUGCGUCGUACAAUUGAGACAAGGAAACCUGGAAUGACUUUUCAUAGGUUUCCCAGAGACUAUGGGUUGAGGAGGAAUUGGAAGUUUGUCGGCUUAGACCUGGUGUCAUUCCAUCAGUGUUAAACUUCCCGGCUCAUCUUGGAAGAGUACGUGCCAGAAAGACCACGACCAAGCAGCCUUGAGAUCUUAGGCAGCGUCUCCCUGAGACCAAAGAACUACAGACUCUUCACAACCUGCUCAAACUCUUGGUACAGGACCUCACCACACGGAUCAAGAAGGUUUCCAUCUCAUUUCUACUCUGAAGCUCACCUUGUCCUGCUCAAACUGCUGAC
ensembl:lncRNA